rnacentral:rRNA from 1 species
UGCGCUUAUCAGAUGAGCCUAGGUCGGAUUAGCUUAGUUGGUGGGGUAAUGGCUCACCAAGGCGACGAUCCGUAACUGGUCUGAGAGGAUGAUCAGUCACACUGGAACUGAGACACGGUCCAGACUCCUACGGGAGGCAGCAGUGGGGAAUAUUGGACAAUGGGCGAAAGCCUGAUCCAGCCAUGCCGCGUGUGUGAAGAAGGUCUUCGGAUUGUAAAGCACUUUAAGUUGGGAGGAAGGGCCAUUACCUAAUACGUGAUGGUUUUGACGUUACCGACAGAAUAAGCACCGGCUAACUCUGUGCCAGCAGCCGCGGUAAUACAGAGGGUGCAAGCGUUAAUCGGAAUUACUGGGCGUAAAGCGCGCGUAGGUGGUUUGUUAAGUUGGAUGUGAAAUCCCCGGGCUCAACCUGGGAACUGCAUUCUAAAACUGACUGACUAGAGUAUGGUAGAGGGUGGUGGAAUUUCCUGUGUAGCGGUGAAAUGCGUAG